UACGGAGGAUGCGAGCGUUAUCCGGAUUUAUUGGGUUUAAAGGGUGCGUAGGUUGUUUUUUAAGUCAGCGGUGAAAGUUUGUGGCUCAACCAUAAAAUUGCCGUUGAAACUGGAAGACUUGAGUGUGUUUGAGGUAGGCGGAAUGCGUGGUGUAGCGGUAAAAUGCGUAAAUAUAUGUAAGAACACCGGUGGCGAAGGCGGCUUGCUGGGCCUGUACUGACAUUGAGGCACGAAAGCGUGGGGAGCAAACAGG
rnacentral:rRNA from 1 species